UACGUAGGGUGCGAGCGUUAUCCGGAUUCACUGGGCGUAAAAGGUUGCGUAGGCGGAUUUGUACAUCUUAAUUAAAAGCCUUCGACUCAAUCGGAGUUUCGGUUAAGAUAUGGCAAGUCUUGAUGGUAUGAAGGGGUGUUGGAACCGAUAGUGGAGCAGCGAAAUGUGUUGAUAUUAUCGGGAACGCCGAAGGAGUAGUCAGACACCUGGCAUACCCAUGACGCUUAGGCACGACAGCUUGGGGAGCGAAGCAG
rnacentral:rRNA from 1 species